GCGUGGAAGCUGAUUUCUCUAGCAAUCAGGUCAUGAUCGGCAAUCUUCGGGAGGAAUUGCAUGCGCCGUCCCUUCCACAUGCUGGUUACCUUCCUCCAGUUCAAUCGCUCCAGACAUGGGUGUGCAUGGCUGAAGUCUGCACCAGAUAGUGUUCAUCCUUGCCUUUGAUCACCUGUCCUACUGUAAAAAGAUCUAAUUGCUUCAUAGUCAUAAUUUGCUUAUAUCUAGAGUUCAUAUAGAGAUUAGUAAGCAGAUAGCGUGUUUUUUGUCAAAUGGUUAUGCAGGUUCGAGCAAGCUCAAAGUAGGCUGGGGAGGAUGACCAGUGAUUAUACUGAUGCUGGUCCAUAUUUCUUGUGCAGGUUCGAGCAAGCACAUCGCCCACGUACAAAAAAUGUUCUUGAUGGUGGUCCAUAUUUUUUAUGCAUAAAACAAAUGUACACAUUUUAUCUAGAAGCAAUAUAACUCUGAAAAAAUGAUUUUUUAUGGACUUUUAGCUCGUGCAGAGUCGGCUGAAAUGCUAUAUCAUCAACACCUUAGCUAUUAUUUUCAUUUAUUAUCAAUAAAAGACGGAGUUGCUGAUGCCAUAUGUCAUUUCUGACAAUAUGAUCGACAUGUGACGUGUCUGAGAUCCGUCGCAAUGCAUGGGAACGGACAGUGGUGGCAAGAGAUGCACCAUCAAGGGCGGCGGCGGGUGGCCUUAUCACGUGGGCCAGAGCCACAACCACAACUAAUAAUAUGCUUGAGAAGCUGCCAUGAUGUGCUCCAGCGCCGAGCAACAAGCCGGUGGUGCAAUGUUGAUAGAACAAUGACAACAACGUCAUGAGAACCGAGAGCGUCCACACAACUAUUUUCCUCUACGAUGGCAGGGGGAGAACCGGGAUGAGAUCUACAAGGUAGCUCGGCCAGAACGAAGGCGACUUGAAUUGUGAGCAGAACGACGCCGGUUAUGCAGCCACCGAUCGAGAGUGAAUUAGUGAAAGCAAUACUUGCA